rnacentral:rRNA from 1 species
CCUAUGAAUAAUUAAAUGGCCGCAGUAUCCUGACUGUGCAAAGGUAGCAUAAUCAUUUGUUUUUUUAUUGAAAACUAGAAUGAAAGAGUCGACGAAAAAUAGCCUUUUGAUUUAUAAAAUUAAAUUAACAUAAAGGUCAAAAGGCCUUUGAAAUUCAGAAAGACGACAAGACCCUAUAAAACUUUACUAUCAUUAAAACAAAAAAAUAGUUGAACUGGGGCGGUUAAUACAAAAACUGUAUAAUAAAAAAUAUAAAACAUAAAAUUUAAGAACUUAAUAUCUAAAAUUUUGAACAAGUUACUUUAGGGAUAACAGCAUAAUUUUCUCAAAGAGCCCUAAUCGACGAGAAAGCUUAUGACCUCGAUGUUGAAUUGAAAACCCUCGUGUAAGCAGUUAUUCACAGAGGUAGUCUGUUCGACUAUUAAAUUUUC